ACCUACGGGGGGCAGCAGUGGGGAAUAUUGCACAAUGGGGGAAACCCUGAUGCAGCGACGCCGCGUGAGUGAGGAAGUAUUUCGGUACGUAAAGCUCUAUCAGCAGGGAAGAAAAUGACGGUACCUGACUAAGAAGCCCCGGCUAACUACGUGCCAGCAGCCGCGGUAAUACGUAGGGGGCAAGCGUUAUCCGGAUUUACUGGGUGUAAAGGGAGCGUAGACGGAGGAGCAAGUCUGAUGUGAAAAUCCGGGGCCCAACCCCGGAACUGCAUUGGAAACUGUUUAUCUAGAGUGUCGGAGAGGCA
rnacentral:rRNA from 1 species